GACAGAGGGGGCAAGCGUUGCUCGGAAUUACUGGGCGUAAAGCGCGCGUAGGCGGACCUGCAAGUCGGGGGUGAAAGCCCGAGGCUCAACCUCGGAACUGCCUUCGAUACUGCGGGUCUCGAGUCCGGGAGAGGUGAGUGGAAUUCCUAGUGUAGAGGUGAAAUUCGUAGAUAUUAGGAAGAACACCAGUGGCGAAGGCGGCUCACUGGCCCGGUACUGACGCUGAGGCGCGAAAGCGUGGGGAGCAAACAGG
rnacentral:rRNA from 1 species